GGAGGAGCAGGGGCCCGCUCACAGCAGCAGCAGAGCCACCAGGAGCCAGUCCACCAGGAAAGCGUUCUGAGAGCCGAGGAAGCAGGAAGGAGCUGUGAGAGACUGAGCUCUAACCUUGGCCAUCAAAGACAAGCUGUGCAGUUCUGGGCUACUAAUGACUUCAAGAACAUCAGAAUAAUACAAUAUAAAGAAUUUGGAAUUUAGAAUCAAAAGACUGAUUCUUCUGAACCAGCUCUACUACUUGUUGGCUUUGUGACAUUUGGUAAAUUACUCAACCUCCCUGAACCUCAAUUUCUUAAUUUGUAAAGAGAAACAAUGUUCUCCUAGUGUUCCCCCCUUUUUCCUUCUUUCUUUCAUCUCUUCAGUGAGAUAAUGGGAAAGUAGUUUGUAAAUGAUUAAAGGCUAUGUGACAGUAAAAUGUGGUUAUUAUAUAAUUUUGGAAUUCUAGGACAGGCACAGUGGGUGGCUCACACCUACAAUCCCAGCACUUUGGGAGGCCAAGUAGGGAGAUUGCUUGAGGCCAGGAGUUCAAGACCAGCUUAGGCAACAUAAUGAGCCCCCCAUCUCUACAAAGAUGUUAAAAAUUAGCCAGGUGUGGUGGUGCAUGCCUGUACUCCCAGCUACUCAGGAGGGUGAGGCAGGAGGAUUGCUUGAACCCAGGAGUUUGAGGCUGCAGUGAGCUAUGAUCUGGCUAUUGCACUCCAGCCUGGGCGACAGAGCAAGACCUCGUGUCAAAAAAAAAAAAAAGAAAUUCUAAAUAUCGUGUUUACUUAGAAUUUGUUCUUGUUUUUGUUUUUUUUGUUGUUGUUUGAGAUGGAAUCUUGCUCUGUUGCCCAGACUGGAGUGAAUUUAGAAUUUGUUCUUGUUUUGUUUUUGCUGUUGUUGUUGUUUGAGACGGAGUCUUGCUCUGUUACCCAGGCUGGAGUGCAGUGGUGUGAUCUCAGCUCACUGCAACCUCCACUUCUGAGGCUCAAGCAAUUCUCCUGCCUCAGCCUCCUAAGUAGCUGGGAUUACAGGCACGCACCACAGUUUCUCACUCUUGCACAGGCUGGAGUGAGGUAGCAUGAUAAUGGCUCACUGCAUCCUCAACCUCCUGGGCUCAAGUGACCCUCCCGCCUCACCCCUCCCCCAGUAUCUAGGACUACAGAUGAUCACCAUCACACUCAGCUAAUUUUUUUUUUUUUAAGAGAUGGGGUCUUGCUUUGUUCCCCAGGCUGAUCUUGAACUCCUGGGCUCAAGGGAUCUGCCCACCUUGGCUUCCCAAAGUGCUGGGAUUUCAGGCAUGAGCCACCAUGCUCGGCCUUAGUAAACUCUUAAAACUACCCAAAUUAUAUGGUAUUGAGGGCACUUAGAAUGAAGAAGGGAUACGGUGCAUAUCUUUCUUUGAAUUCUCAGGACCCACCCGCCUGCCCCAGGGCCCCCUUUGCCUUGGUGCAGGUACUUACUUAAUGGCAUAGUUGCAGACCAGAUAUGCCGCCCGAUGCCAGGUGUUGCCCCAGACGCUGAUGCUACUACAUGUGUGGAUGGCGCAGCCCAGCCGAUUGGAGGAUGCCCACACCAUCUGGUGAAGGACAGAGACAGAGGAGGCUAUGAGAAGGGCUCAGUGGGACCCAGGCUCCCUGGGGUUGUAUAGUUGCAUUAGUUUCCUAUCUGUGAGCAGGAGGGCGGUGGCCCUGCCUCACAGGCACGUUCUGAACCCAUGUGAAGUGCCUCCCUGUACCUAGUACGUGGUAAGUCCUCAAAAAAGGAUACGUGUUACUGUUAUACAGAGGGCCGGGCAGGAGGUGCAUCUCAGACGGGGGAGCUUGCAUUUUCAGGAAGGGAAGGGCUCCUCGGACCAUCUCUUAGGCCUCUGAGAUGUAAGGAGAAGGCAGAUACUGGUGUGUCACCCUGAGAUAACCUCUGCAGUCUGAAAAGCCAUCUAGGGGGACCUGAGGGCUUUUUCUUUUUUUUUUUUUGAGACGCAGUCUCGCUCUGUUGCCCAGGCUGGAGUGCAGUGGUGUGAUCUCAGCUCACUAUAGCCUCUGCCUUCUGGGUGCAAGCAAUUCUUGUGCCUCAGCCUCCCAAGUAGCUGGGACUGCAGGUAUGCACCACCACGCCUGGCUAAUUUUUGUAUUUUUAGUACAGACGAGGUUUCACUAUGUUGGCCAGGCUGGUCUCGAACUCCUGACCUCAGGUGAUCCGCUCGCUUCUGCAUCCCAAAGUGCUGGGAUUACAGGCAUGAGCCACCGCACCCGGCCUUUGAGGGCUUUUUCUAUCACACAUAUUUGACAGGGGCACAAAUAUAUAAAAAUAUACAUAAAUGACUAAAGAGGGAGAAAAUCUGGAAGAAUGCACAUUCAUAAUUUAUGACAGCAUAGGUUCGUCUCUAACACUGCUUUCUUUCUCUCUGUGAGCCUCUCAAAUGGUGGCCAUGGGUAGGGGUGGAGUCUGGCAGGAAGAGUUCAGUGGCAGGAGAGGGGGAAAUGAAAUGGAGGCAGGACUGAAUCACCCGAUGUCUGCUCUGUAGGGCUCUGAGUGACCAUUCACGGCUGUCAGAGGCUGGUGCUGGUUGUGACCAGUGAAGGACAUGAAAAAAUGCAGACAGGGCCCUGAAUUUCCACUGAGCUCACUUGAAAGGACUGGCCUUAAUUCUUUCCCACUCUCCCCGGGCUGAUGGCAGAAUGGCGAGGAUGGGAAGGUAGUUGUUUUUCUAACAUCCUUAUUUGGCAAAAUAAAAAUCUGACAAUCGUG